rnacentral:rRNA from 1 species
AUGAGGGGAAAAAAGAUGAUAUAUGGAUUCUCCAUCUCCCUUAUCCUCAUCAACCUGGCUUCCAUAAUGGAGCGGGCUGAUGAGAAUCUCCUCCCCGCUGUUUACAAGGAAGUCAGUGCCGCCUUCGAUGCUGGUCCUACUGAUCUGGGGUACCUUACGUUUAUAAUGAACUUUCUGAAGUCCAUAGCAUCUCCCUUGGCAGGUGUCCUUGCUCUUCAGUAUGAUCGCCCCACUAUUCUUGCGGUCGGAACUGUCUUCUGGGCUCUAUCAACAGGGGCCGUUGGUGUCAGCCAGUAUUUUCAGCAGGUUGCAUUCUGGAGAGGUGUAAAUGGUGUUGGACUUGCCAUUGUCAUACCAUCACUUCAGUCCUUCAUUGCUGAUAGCUACAGAGAGGGCACCCGUGGCGCCGGAUUUGGUUUGUUGAGCCUCAUUGGCUCAAUAGGUGGUAUAGGAGGAAGUAUUGUGGCAACAGUUAUGGCUGGAAGGGAUUAUUGGGGAUUUCCUGGAUGGCGGUUUGCAUUUAUUGUGGUCGCAUUUGCAAGCUUGUUGAUUGGGCUUCUUGUUUACUUUUACACCGUUGAUCCUAGAAAAACGUCUCCAGGCAAUUUGGGUGACGACGACACCCAUGAGAGGUCGCGUUUGGUUGGUAACAGUGUUUUCCCUCCACUGUCCAUCUGGAAGGAUUCAUGGAUAACAGCAAGAUCUGUCAUGAAAGUGCGGACAUUUCAAAUCAUCGUCUUGCAAGGCAUAGUCGGCUCCUUGCCAUGGACUGCUGUCGUUUUCUUCACAAUGUGGUUUGAGCUAAUUGGUUUCGAUAACAAAAGCUCGGCGGGGUUAAACAGCCUAUUUGCCAUCGGCUGCGCGAGUGGAUCAUUUCUUGGUGGAGUAAUCGCAGACCGUGUGUCAAGACGCUACCCGGAUUCAGGUCGCAUCAUGUGUGCUCAGUUCAGUGCCUUCAUGGGCAUCCCUUUCACAUGGAUCCUCCUCACGGUCAUCCCGCAGUCGGUCGACUACUGGUACAGCUACGCUGUCACGCUGUUCCUGAUGGGGCUCACCAUAAGCUGGUGCGCCACCUGCGCGAACAACCCGAUGUUCGCGGAGGUGGUCCCUCCCAAGCACCGCACCAUGAUCUACGCGUUUGACCGCGCGUUCGAGGGCUCGUUCUCCUCACUGGCUGCUCCCGCCGUCGGCAUGGUGACCGAGAAAGUUUACGGCUACAACUCAAAGACGGUGAAUCUGGCGGACGGGUCGGUGGCAGGGGCGUAUGCGCUCUCGAGAGGGCUGCUGACCAUGAUGAUCGUUCCGUUUGGUCUGUGCUGCCUGUUCUACACCCCGCUGUACUUUGUGUUCAAGCGUGACCGCGAGAACGCAAGGUUGGCGGCCAGCACCAAGGAUCUGGAGCUAAUGUGA